UAAUCUCACUACAAUCGACUUUUUGUCUUUUGCUAUGUGGACUUGGAUGUUGUCGUGGAUUUCCAUGACUCGUCUGAAAUGCCUGAGUGUACCCUGCUUUGCGGCGUAUUCGGUGUGAUAAAUCUUCACCGGAGUUGAUCCUUUUUGGGUCGCGUCUAUAUGAGUGUGGCUCUAUGCUUCCAACCGUCUUCAAGGAGACAAUCUCUGACA
rnacentral:misc_RNA from 1 species